UACUAUAUUUUUACUACAUAGCUUUGUGUAUUGUGAAAAAUGAGGUACACAUUUUUUAAAAUGGAAUUUAGAAGUCUAAUAGAAAGACAAGUAGGAUGAUAAAAACAGGGCUAGGAGACCUUCUUCUCCUGUUUUAAAGCCUUUAUUAGAAUCAGCUUGGGGUGGGGGCCCGACGGGGCAUGCGCACAUUGCCGUCUCUCCCUGAAGCGGCUCGGUGGAGGAGGAGGAAUGCGGCUCUUCCUACGGGGUGCAAUGUAGGCAAAGCUGGGAUCUCCGUCCUCACGGUUAAACCCGGAGUCCCCUUUGGCUCGAAAGUCCAGGGGUAUCAUCUCUAGCGAGUCUCUUAUCAGUCAUGGCGAGGAGAGCGGAGUUGGCGGAUAGUGUCUUUUGAUCCCGACUCCAGGGCACUGCUCUUGGUUUCUUUAUUCCGUGUUCCGAUGCUCCAUGGAUCAGGUUUUUCAUCCGGGAUGGUGUUUUUCGGUGUCUAAUUUACAGAAACCCCGGUUGCCAUGUUGGGAAGUCUCCGGUCGCCAUGUUGGGAAGUCUCCAGUCGCCAUGUUGGGAAGUCUCUAACUCCGGCAGUGAUAGGGUAGGGGUAACAAGGAACACUUUGACAUGGAACUCAGAACCGGAACACUUCUAACUCAGAACCUGGAACAGAGGCUGUAAAGAACACUUUGUCAAAAACCCCGAUUUUAGAUCAAUCUUCUUGGUGCCACUGGGUUUUACCCUCUCCUAUAACGGGUGCAAUAAAUUCCUCUCUUGGAGGGUUUGGAGGACUGCUGUCUUCAUCUGGACAAGUUAUUUGAUACAGUGAAUUACGGCAGAAUUAGCCCAUGGCAGAAUUACAAGACUACAGAGGCUGGCUAUGGAUGACAGUCGUGCAUCUGGCCUGCUGCACAGCACAUCCACACAGGAGCUAAGGGAUCAUCCUUGCACAGCCCAUCCUGGAAGAAGAGAGUUCACUGAUGAAUCCGACACCGUUUUAUGGCAUGGCAGCAGAAUAAAGGCUAGAAUUGGUCCUGUU